rnacentral:rRNA from 1 species
UUAGAGUGUUCAAAGCGGGCAGAUAUUUUUCCUGCCACCGAAUACAUUAGCAUGGGAUAAUGGAAUAGGACCCUGACCUCCUAUUUUCAGUUGGUUUUGUUUACAGCGAGGUUAUAUCAGGGUAAUGAUUAAUAGGGAUAGUUGGGGGCAUUAAUAUUUAAUUGUCAGAGGUGAAAUUCUUGGAUUUAUGAAAGAUUAACUUCUGCGAAAGCGUUUGCCAAGGAUGUUUUCAUUAAUCAAGAACGAAAGUUAGGGGAUCGAAGACGAUCAGAUACCGUCGUAGUCUUAACCAUAAACGAUGCCGACCAGCGAUUAGGAGACGUUGAAUACAAAACACCGCUGUUAAUCCUUUCGGGGGUUAAUAGUUGGUGAAUGACUCCCCUAGCAGCUUGUGAGAA